GGAGGGCCUGGGGGACCAGCUGGACCAGGUCGGCCAAUUGAUCCGGGAGUUAGAGGCUUCCUUAAGCAGCCAAAGGGGAUUCAAGCUCAAAUCUUCAAGUGCUAUGAAGAAUCUUUAUGUAUCUAAUUCCUUAGCCUUGAAAAAGUAAUUAAUAAUUAUAGGGUGUGGGCCCAAGAUCUUGAAAAUUCAUUGAGUUGUGAUGAGGCUACAGCAAGUGCAUGAAGAUCUCUUUCUUUUGAAUUCUCAUCUACAAAUUCCAAAUUUCCUGUUUGAAGUUCCAGUUGGACUUGGAUUGCUUCUACUGCUAUUGGAUUUUAAAGAUGAAUUUAAUCAAACGUACCAGUUCUCCUUUGUCCCCAGGAAGACCAUCAGCUCCAGCAAUACCCUGAAAAUGACAUACCUCAAUAUUAACAGACCAAACUAUGUGGAAGGAUGGUCAUCACUCUCAUCCCAACUCUCUGAUGUUAAGGAAUUGAAUGGUUUUCGUGAAACAAAUUUAAUACAAACUAAGGUCAAUAACAACUCAGUCUCCGUAAUGCAUGAACAUAGAUUAUUUGACAAUACAUAUCCUCUAUCAUGAUCCCAUUUUACCAGGCCAUUUUCUAGCUAAAUUAGUUGGCGACCAGUUAGCUUAGACUUAUAUUGUUUCAGAUUUGGUAUAAUCUGAGUUACAGCCAGUACAUCUAUUAUUGCUAUCGCCACCUAACUAGUUGGGAGUGAGGUAGGAUUUCAAAUCCAAAUCUCCUAAUCUUUUGCAUAUACGAAGGUGAAGGAUCUGAGUUUUGGUCAGGUAGUCUGAAGGCAGGAUUGGCAAAUUGCAGCUAAGGACCUGGAGAGACAAGCACAAAACUUUCCCACAAAGGAAUGAAGGGAGAAAAAGCUCUAUGCAUUCAAAGCAACUCGGUUCUUCCCUCCCUGUGUCUACUGUAUUCUCCCAAUCUGUCCUUUAGAGCUAAGUGGAGAUGACCUAGAAAUCUCUAAUCACAAUGGAAGUGUUAAACUUAAAAAAACCAAACCAAACCACUUCUACCUCUGCCCCCACAUCAAUGGCUGUGUGUAUCAUUGUGGAUUUUUUUUCUGGGAAUGGUUUGGACUAGCUGACCACUGAGGUCAUUCCCAACUCUGAAAUUCUGUGGUUCUGUGAACAUUUAUUUUAAUUUACCAAAAUGAAAAUCAAAUCUCUAGCUUAAGAGAUAAGGAUCCUUAAUAAUUCUCCAUCAGUCACAACCUUCCUCUUUCCUUGCCCUCUCUCCCAAAUCAUCAUUUUGGACACUGAACAUUCAGUUCUAUUUGUCAGCUAUACCUUGUAAAUUGGAAUACAACCUAAUUGGCUGUCUUACCAAUUCUUUAUUGGUCAUUCUAGAAAUAAAGAAGGCCCCUUUUUCAGUGAGCAGUAAGCCCAAAGAUGGAGCCAGAAAGUGGACCGCAGGAAGAGAGGGAAAAAGAAAGCCCACCAAGCACACAAGUUGAUAAAAAUGUCCACAGUCAUUCAUUAUCUGUCCUUAUAAAAUGUCUCUCCUAUUCAACUAAACUAAUUGCCCAAAAUCGAGUCUGAAUUAAGUCAUGGAUUUUGUUAAGAAAGAGCCAAUACAUUCUAAUUCUCAUGAAAAUUUUCCUCAAACUUAGGAAACUCAGUUACAUGAACUACAAAAAGGAAUGGCAAAGUGUUUUGGGAGAGUAGUCAUCUAGGAAAACCAGUCCAGUGAUUAUACUGAGUAAGGAUGAGGCAUGGUUUGCUGCAAUGGUCUCAAUUCCAUAUGGGUUGUAUUAUAGAAUUAUUGGAAUGUUAUAGGUUUGCUCAGUAGUUAAAACCUGGAGAUGAUGAAGCCAGAGCUGUAGUUUAAAUUUGCAUAAGGGAACGGCUAAAUCAGUCUUUCUCCCCUGCUGGAGGAUCACUAUCCUAGAGGAUCACUAUCCUGUCAACAAUGGUUCAUCAUCUUUGCCUACAAAGGACAGCUCCUUUAUUAGGUGAAUGAAAGUUUCCUCUUCAUACCAUGAGAGGGCGUCUGCCACUAAGUUGCAACUAUAGAAACCCUAAGUACAUAGUACCUAGCUUGCAUCAUCAUCAAUUACGAUAUUAUUCUAUUAUAUGAGAUUGCAGCAACUGAUGUCAAUAUGGCUAUUUCCACUGAAGCUGAAGCGUGAAGUCCC